rnacentral:misc_RNA from 1 species
UGACAACGUGGAACGGAACGU